rnacentral:rRNA from 1 species
UACGGAGGAUCCAAGCGUUAUCCGGAAUUACUGGGCGUAAAGAGUUGCGUAGGUGGCAGAGUAAGCGAAGUGUGAAAGCGUCCCGCUCAACGGGAUAUCCAUGCUUCGAACUGCUCAGCUUGAGGACGAGAGAGGUUAUUGGAAUUCCUAGUGUAGGAGUGAAAUCCGUAGAUAUUAGGAGGAACACCGAUGGCGUAGGCAGAUAACUGGCUCGUUCCUGACACUAAGGCACGAAAGCGUGGGUAGCAAACGGG